UACGUAGGGUGCGAGCGUUAAUCGGAAUUACUGGGCGUAAAGCGUGCGCAGGCGGCUUCGCAAGUCAGACGUGAAAUCCCCGGGCUUAACCUGGGAAUGGCGUUUGAAACUACGGAGCUGGAGUGUGGCAGAGGGAGGUAGAAUUCCACGUGUAGCGGUGAAAUGCGUAGAUAUUGGGAAGAACACCGAUGGCGAAGGCAGCCAUCUGGACCGACACUGACGCUGAGGCGCGAAAGCGUGGGGAGCAAACAGG
rnacentral:rRNA from 1 species